CGUGGGGAACCUGCCCCAUAGUCUGGGAUACCACUUGGAAACAGGUGCUAAUACCGGAUAAGAAAGCGGAUCGCAUGAUCAGCUUUUAAAGGGCGGCGUAAGCUGUCGCUAUGGGAUGGCCCCGCGGUGCAUUAGCUAGUUGGUAAGGUAAAGGCUUACCAAGGCGAUGAUGCAUAGCCGAGUUGAGAGACUGAUCGGCCACAUUGGGACUGAGACACGGCCCAAACUCCUACGGGAGGCAGCAGAG
rnacentral:rRNA from 1 species